UUGCAAAUAUUGUCACUGUUCUGACUGUGUCAUAAUCAGGGCAGGCUAAACAUUCGCUAUAGUAAGGCCACGAAUGUCUCCAGACCUAGGUCUUUCCCUAAGUCUGGUUUUCUAAAUGCUGGUGAUAAAC
rnacentral:snoRNA from 1 species